GACAUGGCUCAGGAUGAACGCUGGCGGCGUGCUUAACACAUGCAAGUCGAACGAAGCACUUUAUUUGAUUUCCUUCGGGACUGAUUAUUUUGUGACUGAGUGGCGGACGGGUGAGUAACGCGUGGGUAACCUGCCUUGUACAGGGGGAUAACAGUUGGAAACGGCUGCUAAUACCGCAUAAGCGCACAGCAUCGCAUGAUGCAGUGUGAAAAACUCCGGUGGUAUAAGAUGGACCCGCG
rnacentral:rRNA from 1 species